GGAUCCAGACUUUGAUCAUGGCUCAGGAUGAACGCUAGCUACAGGCUUAACACAUGCAAGUCGAGGGGCAGCAUGACGAUAGCUUGCUAUUGUUGAUGGCGACCGGCGCACGGGUGAGUAACGCGUAUCCAACCUGCCCUUGUCCAUCGGAUAACCCGUCGAAAGGCGGACUAACACGGUAUGCAGUCCACAGCAGGCAUCUAACGUGGACGAAAUGUGAAGGAGAAGGAUGGGGAUGCGUCUGAUUAGCUUGUUGGCGGGGUAACGGCCCACCAAGGCGACGAUCAGUAGGGGUUCUGAGAGGAAGGUCCCCCACAUUGGAACUGAGACACGGUCCAAACUCCUACGGGAGGCAGCAGUGAGGAAUAUUGGUCAAUGGACGGAAGUCUGAACCAGCCAAGUAGCGUGCAGGAAGACGGCCCUAUGGGUUGUAAACUGCUUUUAUACGGGGAUAAAGUGAGCCACGUGUGGCUUAUUGCAGGUACCGUAUGAAUAAGGACCGGCUAAUUCCGUGCCAGCAGCCGCGGUAAUACGGAAGGUCCGGGCGUUAUCCGGAUUUAUUGGGUUUAAAGGGAGCGUAGGCCGUUUGUUAAGCGUGUUGUGAAAUGUCGGGGCUCAACCUGGGCAUUGCAGCGCGAACUGGCAGACUUGAGUGCGCGGGAAGUAGGCGGAAUUCGUCGUGUAGCGGUGAAAUGCUUAGAUAUGGCGAAGAACUCCGAUUGCGAAGGCAGCCUGCCGUAGCGUAACUGACGCUGAAGCUCGAAAGCGUGGGUAUCGAACAGGAUUAGAUACCCUGGUAGUCCACGCGGUAAACGAUGGAUGCUCGCUGUUUGCGUCUGACGUAAGCGGCCAAGCGAAAGCGUUAAGCAUCCCACCUGGGGAGUACGCCGGCAACGGUGCAACUCAAAUGAAUUGACGG
rnacentral:rRNA from 2 species